GACGAACGCUGGCGGCGUGCCUAAUACAUGCCAGUCGAGCGGACUUGAAGGAGUGCUUGCACUCCUGAGAGUUAGCGGCGGACGGGUGAGUAACACGUAGGCAACCUGCCCUCAAGACUGGGAUAACUACCGGAAACGGUAGCUAAUACCGGAUAAUUUAUUACAUAGCAUUAUGUGAUAAUGAAAGACGGAGCAAUCUGUCACUUGGGGAUGGGCCUGCGGCGCAUUAGCUAGUUGGUGGGGUAACGGCCCACCAAGGCGACGAUGCGUAGCCGACCUGAGAGGGUGAACGGCCACACUGGGACUGAGACACGGCCCAGACUCCUACGGGAGGCAGCAGUAGGGAAUCUUCCGCAAUGGGCGAAAGCCUGACGGAGCAACGCCGCGUGAGUGAUGAAGGUGUUCGGAUCGUAAAGCUCUGUUGCCAAGGAAGAACGUCUCAUAGAGUAACUGCUAUGAGAGUGACGGUACUUGAGAAGAAAGCCCCGGCUAACUACGUG
rnacentral:rRNA from 1 species